UUGGGCAACACCUAUUCUAAAACUGGAACAAUACAGAGAAGAUUAGCAUGGCCUUGGGCAGGGUAACAAGCAAAUUGGUGAAGCAAUCCAUAUUUAC
rnacentral:snRNA from 1 species